rnacentral:rRNA from 1 species
AGCGAACGCUGGCGGCAGGCCUAACACAUGCAAGUCGAACGAACCUUUCGGGGUUAGUGGCGGACGGGUGAGUAACACGUGGGAACGUGCCUUUAGGUUCGGAAUAACUCAGGGAAACUUGUGCUAAUACCGAAUGUGCCCUUCGGGGGAAAGAUUUAUCGCCUUUAGAGCGGCCCGCGUCUGAUUAGCUAGUUGGUUGAGGUAAUGGCUCACCAAGGCGACGAUCAGUAGCUGGUCUGAGAGGAUGAUCAGCCACAUUGGGACUGAGACACGGCCCAAACUCCUACGGGAGGCAGCAGUGGGGAAUCUUGCGAAAUGGGCGAAAGCCUGACACAGCCAUGCCGCGUGAAUGAUGAAGGUCUUAGGAUUGUAAAAUUCUUUCACCGGGGAAGAUAAUGACGGUACCCGGAGAAGAAGCCCCGGCUAACUUCGUG